GACUCUCCUACUAUGAUUAAAGGCGACACUUCCGGUUUUCUUCCUACCGGACUGGAGCCAUUUCAAAAUGACGGCUGCGUGAAAUCUUCUCCUGAAGGGCCUGAGGAGUUGACCUUCAAGUUUCUAGUCACCCUGAAGACAUUGAUUAACUGGUUCAGGUGAAUCUCUCCACUCUUUUGAGUCUCUCGUGAAACAUUAUGGAUCCUCUGUUUGACAGUAGAUUGAGCUCCUCCAUCAUCAGAUCCUGAGGAACACUGAUCUUCUUUCCCAGGUUCAGACAUGCUGAUUUACAUGCACAGAUAUAUUGAAACGCAUUUUAUAUUAAUCACUGAACUACAAUCCAUUAUGAAACAACAAAGACAUUUAAUGGUUUGCUUUAAUACUGUGCAAUUCAGCAAAAGUGCCUCCAAGCAUGAGCACAACAUGUGCGGCUGAUUAAAUCAUUAAAUUUGACACUUGUCGGUCUGGGUGUAACCUCAGCCUGCUGUUUGUUCUGUAAUGUUUAAGAGGGUUCAGAUCUUUCCCGAUCAGGCGUGGAUGAGUCAUGAUCUCAUGGAGUAAAGCAUUUAGUCUCCGGCUGUCAUAUUACAUUACAAAUACCCUUACUGAUUUGGGAACCGAGUCAAAGCAGUUGAGACAUGCCUUAGAAGAAAGUGUAAAUUUGUCUCCGUUUUCACUUUACAGACUGUUUUGAUUCUUUCCCCACAUGUCAUAGUGCCGUCUCUUUCAAGCUACUUUCAUUGAGUCAGGCAUAUCCAUUGAGAUGAGAUUGAGGCAUGCUGUUUGAAGAAACUCAGCUUUUUAUUUCUUGCUUCUGAUGUAUCUUACCUCCAUCUGUGUCCGAGCUCAGCUCCUGUUGAUCUUUCUCCUUAGAUACGUCCGUGUAUGGCACAGGCAUGAUGAUAUUAAUAGUGUCCAGUCUUCAAUAAAAUCAGGCCAGAGGAAUAAUUUAUUUUGAGAUUGUUCCCCAAUCCCCACUAAAAUGAAUCUGAUUUUUAUCCUUUCAUUGUGAUAUUCAUAUGUACUCCUUUGAUCUCAAAUCAUGCCUGAAAACUCUUGUUUAAACUGAGUCGCACAGAUCACGGAACAAACGAAUCCUCUCAUUAUAGCAAAACUUACCAAUUUUAAAAUCCUGUUUUUGCUCUGAUGCCAGUCAAUGAUGUAUCAUGUCCCGAGGUAGAUACGCUUGUGUGUCAGGUACGCUGUGGACCUUCUUUUUUGCCUUGGUUAGAUCACUGUCUUAUUAUAGCAAGUGAAGUUUGUAUCCAAUAGGCAUGGAUUAGCACGGUAGAGCUCCAGCAUCCACACUAAUGAAAAUUUGAUCCACCGGCCAUAACACUAAGCAUUCAGACCAGUGACCGGGGAGGAAGGCAAGACUCUGAGUCUUGCCCAAGUCUGUCUGCCUCUGGGAUUCAACACCUUUUGCUGAAGGGAUGCCAUGGGCCUGAGAAGGGAUAUCAAUUUUUGGCGAUUGCUAACAAGUGGCUAAAUUGGAACUACAGAGGUUGUUGGCGACAGCAGCAUGCCGAACAAGUAAAAUACCCAUUCAUCCAUUUUCCCAGCCUCGUAAUUGAGCUUUUGUUAUACUAUUCUAAUCCAAACUUUCAGGGGAAAUUUAUUGUAUUUUUUUUAGUUGAGACUCAAAAAGUUGGAAGCAUAGGCCUAAUGGUUGUGUUUGUUGAAGUCAUAUGACCGUGGUGUAGUUAGUUUAGUCUACGCUUAGCUAUUUAUUUCUGAUCAUUGUAUUUAGCUUCAAAGUUAUCCUAGUAAAGAUUAAAAGAUAGUAGAAGAUUAUCCUGGUAAAAAUCAAAAUUUUGUUUGUCACAAAUCUAGUUUUCUGCAAUAAUCCAAAAAGCCAAUGGAGAAAUGCUGUUGUUUUAUGGGGAUGUUAACUUCCGAGUUGGCCUACAAACAUAAUCACUGCAGCACUUUGUUGUAUGUGCUAUCAAAUAUGCAAGUUGAAUUGAAUCAUAUCAGUCCAGCCUAAUUCCAUACAAAAAGUUUUAGAGACACUGGAUCUCAUUCAUUCAUUAAUUAUGUGUAUGUCUACAUACACACAACUUUGUUGAGUAUGAAUGUUUUCACAAACACAUCUUGAAUCAUUAUAACUUACAUAACCAAAGCCACAUGUAUAUAAAAAAAAAAAAAAAUCACAUGCUCUUAUCUCCUUAUAAAAGUGCAGAUAUACUUUUAAACAUCUGGAUGAUAUGAGGUACACAGAACAAAAGCAUAAACAAAGUUAUUUGUAUUUGAACUGACUUUGAGGAUGUGGAUGGAGCUUGAAGGUCUAGCCACACCCAACAUAACUCCACCAAUCAGGUCUACAGAGGUGGACCUGGACUAGCAAAACAAAGCAACUAGUAAUAUUGCGUCUAAAAUGUAAGUUAUUCAAUAUUAACUUUCCUGUUUAUUAAUGUGCUGUACAAAAGCAAUUAUCACACACACAAUCGUAUUGUUGAUUCCAGCAUCACCAUGGCUGUGAUUAUUACAUGUUAUCUCUUGCUUGUAUGUUAUUGCUUGAAUAUCUAUUUUAGAUCUUCCAAAAACACUGGAAAACGUGGAUAAAACCAACAUGACUACUCCAUGAUCUUGUUUAAAUUAGAAUUCAAGACAUAAUCUUAAGCUACUAGAAAAUGUAGUCACAAUUUCAUUUCACAUAAUCAUACUCAUUAUUCCCACACAGGUUAUUCAUAUAGAAACUACCAAAUCCAGU